GGUUAAGUUAGAAAGGGCGCACGGUGGAUGCCUUGGCACUAGGAGCCGAAGAAGGACGGGACUAACACCGAUAUGCUUUGGGGAGCUGUACGUAAGCGUUGAUCCAGAGAUUUCCGAAUGGGGGAACCCACUAUCUUUAGUCGGAUAGUAUCCUUACGUGAAUACAUAGCGUGAGGAAGGCAGACCCAGGGAACUGAAACAUCUAAGUACCUGGAGGAAGAGAAAGAAAAAUCGAUUUCCUGAGUAGCGGCGAGCGAAACGGAAAGAGCCCAAACCAAGAAGCUUGCUUCUUGGGGUUGUAGGACACUCUAUACGGAGUUACAAAAGAAAGUUAUAAAUGAAGCGGUCUGGAAAGGCCCGCCAAAGACGGUAACAGCCCGGUAGUUGAAAUAGCUUUCCCUCCAGAGUGGAUCCUGAGUACGGCGGAACACGUGAAAUUCCGUCGGAAUCCGGGAGGACCAUCUCCCAAGGCUAAAUACUCCCUAGUGACCGAUAGUGAACCAGUACCGUGAGGGAAAGGUGAAAAGCACCCCGGAAGGGGAGUGAAACAGUUCCUGAAACCGUGUGCCUACAAGUAGUUAGAGCCCGUUAAUGGGUGAUAGCGUGCCUUUUGUAGAAUGAACCGGCGAGUUACGAUUUGUUGCAAGGUUAAGCGGAAAAAGCGGAGCCGUAGCGAAAGCGAGUCUGAAUAGGGCGCAUAAGUAACAGGUCGUAGACCCGAAACCAGGUGAUCUACCCAUGUCCAGGAUGAAGGUAAGGUAAUACUUACUGGAGGUCCGAACCCACGCACGUUGAAAAGUGCGGGGAUGAGGUGUGGGUAGCGGAGAAAUUCCAAUCGAACUUGGAGAUAGCUGGUUCUCUCCGAAAUAGCUUUAGGGCUAGCCUCGAGGUAAAGAGUCAUGGAGGUAGAGCACUGUUUGGACUAGGGGCCCUUCUCGGGUUACCGAAUUCAGAUAAACUCCGAAUGCCAUGUACUUAUACUCGGGAGUCAGACUGCGAGUGAUAAGAUCCGUAGUCGAAAGGGAAACAGCCCAGACCACCAGUUAAGGUCCCCAAAUAUAUGUUAAGUGGAAAAGGAUGUGGGGUUGCUUAGACAACCAGGAUGUUGGCUUAGAAGCAGCCACCAUUGAAAGAGUGCGUAAUAGCUCACUGGUCGAGUGACCCCGCGCCGAAAAUGUACCGGGGCUAAACAUAUUACCGAAACUGUGGAUGAACCUCUUUAGAGGUUCGU
rnacentral:rRNA from 1 species